rnacentral:rRNA from 1 species
UGUAGCUGGACCUUACGAUGACGCCCUUCGGGGUGGAUUAAUGGUAGAACGGGUGAGUAACACGUGGGCAAUCUGCCCUUCACUCUGGGACAAGCCCUGGAAACGGGGUCUAAUACCGGAUACCACUCCUGCCUGCAUGGGCGGGGGUUGAAAGCUCCGGCGGUGAAGGAUGAGCCCGCGGCCUAUCAGCUUGUUGGUGGGGUAAUGGCCCACCAAGGCGACGACGGGUAGCCGGCCUGAGAGGGCGACCGGCCACACUGGGACUGAGACACGGCCCAGACUCCUACGGGAGGCAGCAGUGGGGAAUAUUGCACAAUGGGCGAAAGCCUGAUGCACCGACGCCGCGUGAGGGAUGACGGCCUUCGGGUUGUAAACCUCUUUCAGCAGGGAAGAAGCGAAAGUGACGGUACCUGCAGAAGAAGCGCCGGCUAACUACGUGCCAGCAGCCGCGGUAAUACGUAGGGCGCAAGCGUUGUCCGGAAUUAUUGGGCGUAAAGAGCUCGUAGGCGGCUUGUCACGUCGGAUGUGAAAGCCCGAGGCUUAACCUCGGGUCUGCAUUCGAUACGGGCUAGCUAGAGUGUGGUAGGGGAGAUCGGAAUUCCUGGUGUAGCGGUGAAAUGCGCAGAUAUCAAGAGGAACACCGGUGGCGAAGGCGGAUCUCUGGGCCAUUACUGACGCUGAGGAGCGAAAGCGUGGGGAG